GAGAUAGAUUAUCAUAUACACAAGUUAUUUUACUAAAGAUUGUCUAAGAUUGGCUGUUUUUCCUGAGCUGUAACACUUGGGAGAAGGCUUCCCCACUGCCAAGCAAUCAUCAUUGGACAUUAGACACACCUGCCUGGUCAGGUUCCUGUGGCUUCCAGACUCACAUCAGAGCAUGGGCUCCAGACAUGGACACAGCCUCAGAAGCUGCAGGACCCAUGGCCCUAGCCCCCUGCCCUGUUCUUGUGGCACAAAGAUCUUUGUGCCUUUUCUAAGAGCAGUACAAUGUCCAGCAUUCUCAUCUGCAAUGGAGCCCUGUGGACCCUAUUUGUCCUGGGAUGAGCUUAACCAUCCUAGAUCUAGCAUACAGCAACUUGUGAUGCUACAAAUGGAAGAAGCAGAUUUCUUCAGACACCACCAUUCUGAACUUUGCCCUGUUCUCUCUGAACUUGUGUUUACUUGAGGCAGCCAGAUACCCCACCUGGAGAGGUAGAACAUGAACCACAGUGUAUGUUUUUAAGGUUAAGCUUAAAACAAGUAACUAAAAUCAAAUAAAGUAAAAUCUUAUACUU
rnacentral:lncRNA from 1 species